GCCGGGUGUGGUGGCUCACGCCUGUAAUCCCAGCAUUUUGGGAGGCUGAGGCAGGUGGAUCAUCUGAGGUCAGGAGUUCAAGACCAGCCUGGCCAACAUGGUGAAACCCUGUCUCUA
rnacentral:SRP_RNA from 1 species